UGCGUAGAGAUAAAGACAGUUUUAAAUGAUGUUACUUUUUUUCAAAUGGAGAAAGACAUCAAUUAAAUCUGUGCUUAUCUCUACAAGCA
ensembl:miRNA dre-mir-723 dre-mir-723